GACGAACGCUGGCGGCGUGCUUAACACAUGCAAGUCGAACGAAGUGGCGAACGGGUGAGUAACGCGUAAUCAACCUGCCCUUCAGAGGGGGACAACAGUUGGAAACGACGGCUAAUACCGCAUACUGAAGACGUGGAUGGCGUCUGAUUUGCUAGUUGGAGGGGUAACGGCCCACCAAGGCGAUGAUACGUAGCCGGUCUGGGAGGAUGAACGGCCACAUUGGGACUGAGACACGGCCCAGACUCCUUCGGGAGGCAGCAGUGGGGAAUCUUACGCAAUGGACGAAAGUCUGACGGAGCAACGCCGCGUGAGUGAUGACGGCCUUCGGGUUGUAAAGCUCUGUUAAUCGGGACGCGGUACCGGAAUAGAAAGCCACGGCUAACUACGUGCCAGCAGCCGCGGUAAUUC
rnacentral:rRNA from 1 species